rnacentral:rRNA from 1 species
GAUCAACGCUGGCGGCGUGCCUUACGCAUGCAAGUCGCACGGUCCCUUCGCAAGAGGGGGUAGUGGCGGACGGGUGAGGAACACGUACGUGACCUGCCUACUAGUGGGGGAUACCCUUCCGAAAGGGAGGUUAAUACCGCAUGUGGUCUCCUUGGUGCGCCAGGGAGAGUAAAGUUGCAAGGCGCUAGUAGAGGGGCGUGCGGCGGAUUAGCUGGUUGGUGGGGUAACGGCCUACCAAGGCGACGAUCCGUAGCUGGUCUGAGAGGACGGCCAGCCACACGGGGACUGAGACACGGCCCCGACUCCUACGGGAGGCAGCAACGAGGAAUCUUGGGCAAUGGGCGCAAGCCUGACCCAGCGACGCCGCGUGGGGAUGACGGCCCUUGGGUUGUAAACCCCUUUUCUGUCGAACGAAGGCCCCUUCGGGGGAUUGGACGGUACGGCAGGAAUCAGCCACGGCUAACUACGUGCCAGC